rnacentral:rRNA from 1 species
UACAGGGGGUGCAAACGUUGCUCGGAAUCAUUGGGCGUAAAGCGCACGUAGGCGGUUCGUUAUGUCGGAUGUGAAAGCCCUUGGCUUAACCGAGGAAGUGCAUCCGAAACUGGCGAGCUAGAGUACGAAAGAGGAUCGCGGAAUUCCUGGUGUAGCGGUGGAAUGCGCAGAUAUCAGGAGGAACACCGGUGGCGAAGGCGGGUCUCUGGGCCUUACCUGACGCUGAGGAGCGAAAGCGUGGGGAGCGAACAGG